GACGAACGCUGGCGGCGUGCUUAACACAUGCAAGUCGAACGGAAAGGCCCUGCUUUUGUGGGGUGCUCGAGUGGCGAACGGGUGAGUAACACGUGAGUAACCUGCCCUUGACUUUGGGAUAACUUCAGGAAACUGGGGCUAAUACCGGAUAGGAGCUCCUGCUGCAUGGUGGGGGUUGGAAAGUUUCGGCGGUUGGGGAUGGACUCGCGGCUUAUCAGCUUGUUGGUGGGGUAGUGGCUUACCAAGGCUUUGACGGGUAGCCGGCCUGAGAGGGUGACCGGCCACAUUGGGACUGAGAUACGGCCCGGACUCCUACGGGAGGCAGCAGGGGGGAAUAUUGCACAAUGGGCGGAGGCCUGAUGCAGCAACGCCGCGUGCGGGAUGACGGCCUUCGGGUUGUAAACCGCUUUCGCCUGUGACGAAGCGUGAGUGACGGUAAUGGGUAAAGAAGCACCGGCUAACUACGUG
rnacentral:rRNA from 1 species